rnacentral:rRNA from 1 species
GACAGCAGUCGCCACGGUAAUACGUAGGUCCCGAGCGUUGUCCGGAUUUAUUGGGCGUAAAGCGAGCGCAGGCGGUUAGAUAAGUCUGAAGUUAAAGGCUGUGGCUUAACCAUAGUAUGCUUUGGAAACUGUUUAACUUGAGUGCAAGAGGGGAGAGUGGAAUUCCAUGUGUAGCGGUGAAAUGCGUAAAUAUAUGGAGGAACACCGGUGGCGAAAGCGGCUCUCUGGCUUGUAACUGACGCUGAGGCUCGAAAGCGUGGGGAGCAAACAGGAUUAGAUACCCGCGUAGUCCCUGUCUCUUAUACC